AUUGAACGCUGGCGGCAGGCCUAACACAUGCAAGUCGAACGGUAACAGGAAGAAGCUUGCUUCUUUGCUGACGAGUGGCGGACGGGUGAGAAAUGUCUGGGAAACUGCCUGAUGGAGGGGGAUAACUACUGGAAACGGUAGCUAAUACCGCAUAACGUCGCAAGACCAAAGAGGGGGACCUUCGGGCCUCUUGCCAUCGGAUGUGCCCAGAUGGGAUUAGCUAGUAGGUGGGGUAACGGCGCACCUAGGCGACGAUCCCUAGCUGGUCUGAGAGGAUGACCAGCCACACUGGAACUGAGACACGGUCCAGACUCCUACGGGAGGCAGCAGUGGGGAAUAUUGCACAAUGGGCGCAAGCCUGAUGCAGCCAUGCCGCGUGUAUGAAGAAGGCCUUCGGGUUGUAAAGCACUUUCAGCGGGGAGGAAGAGAGUAAAGUUAAUACCUUGGCUCAUUGACGUUACCCGCAGAAGAAGCACCGGCUAACUCCGUG
rnacentral:rRNA from 1 species